rnacentral:rRNA from 1 species
GAUGAACGCUGGCGGCGUGCCUAAUACAUGCAAGUCGAGCGAACAGACGAGAGUGCUUGCACUCUCUGACGUUAGCGGCGGACGGGUGAGUAACACGUGGGUAACCUACCUAUAAGACUGGGAUAACUUCGGGAAACCGGAGCUAAUACCGGAUAAUAUUUAGCUUCGCAUGAAGCAAUAGUGAAAGACGGUUCUGCUGUCACUUAUAGAUGGACCCGCGGUGUAUUAGCUAGUUGGUGAGGUAACGGCUCACCAAGGCAACGAUACAUAGCCGACCUGAGAGGGUGAUCGGCCACACUGGGACUGAGACACGGCCCAGACUCCUACGGGAGGCAGCAGUAGGGAAUCUUCCGCAAUGGACGAAAGUCUGACGGAGCAAUGCCGCGUGAGUGAAGAAGGUGUUCGGAUCGUAAAACUCUGUUGUAAGGGAAGAACAAGUACGUUAGUAACUGAACGUACCUUGACAGUACCUGACCAGAAAGCCACGGCUAACUACGUG